rnacentral:rRNA from 1 species
GGCUCAGGACGAACGCUGGCGGCGUGCCUAACACAUGCAAGUCGAGCGAUGAAAUCCUUCGGGAUGGAUUAGCGGCGGACGGGUGAGUAACACGUGGGUAACCUGCCUUGUAGAGGGGGAUAGCCUUCCGAAAGGAAGAUUAAUACCGCAUAAUAUCUUUUUAUCGCAUGGUAGAAAGAUCAAAGGAGCAAUCCGCUACAAGAUGGACCCGCGGCGCAUUAGCUAGUUGGUGAGGUAACGGCUCACCAAGGCGACGAUGCGUAGCCGACCUGAGAGGGUGAUCGGCCACAUUGGAACUGAGACACGGUCCAGACUCCUACGGGAGGCAGCAGUGGGGAAUAUUGCGCAAUGGGGGGAAAAACCCCUGACGCAGCAACGCCGCGUGAAUGAAGAAGGCCUUAGGGUUGUAAAGUUCUGUUUACGGGGACGAUAAUGACGGUACCCGUGGAGGAAGCCACGGCUAACUACGUGCCAGCCGCAGC